GGAGGGGUGGCCGAGCGGUUGAAGGCGCCUGUCCUGAAAACAGGUAGCUCCGCAAGGAGCUCAUGGGUUCGAAUCCCAUCCCCUCCGCCA
rnacentral:tRNA from 1 species